GCCUGGAGAGAGAAACACAGAAAUACUUCACUUUCUUUAUAUAUAUAUAUAUAUAUAUAUAUAUAUAUAUAUAGAGAGAGAGAGAGAGAGAGAGAGAGAGAGAGAGAGAUCAAAGUCUGAAGGGUCUCCCUCCGAUUCCAGAAAAUAUCUGUAGCCGCUUACUGUGUCUGGAUCUUUUAAGGAAGGGCCGUAGAGCUCGUCGAGGAGGUGGGCUACGGUCAGGCCUAGCUUUGAUGCAGAUAAUGAGUUCAUGACGUUGCUUCAUGGGUCAGAUCCGGUUAAGGUGGAGCUUAAUCGGCUUGAGAAUGAAGUUAGAGAUAAGGAUAGAGAGCUGGGUGAAGCACAAGCCGAGAUCAAGGCGUUGAGGUUCUCUGAGAGACUUAGAGAGAAGGCUGUCGAGGAGUUGGUCAUGUGUUUUCAGAAGCACUUUGGAAAGCAGGCGUGUUCCCGAAUUAUCCGAGGAUUUGCUGCUCUCGAAAAAGUUUCCCGAGCAUUUCAGUAAAUUGCAUCUUGAACAAGUUGAUAAGGUUGCUUUGGAUGCUUUGAAUGAUGGCGCAGAAGCUCGUUUGCAGGGUUUGGAGCCUUGGGUCCAGGUAUGGAGUCGGUUUUCUGCCACACCCUUUUCUAUUAUGUGCAUGUCCAAUGCUCAAGAUCCCAGGUAAUCAUUACAUUUAGUGAAUACUGUAGGAGAUUUAGGGCUAGGCCUUUGUGGCUGAUUGAACCUCUGUCAUAGUUAAAUAUGUGUUGGUUAAUGUAUUGAUGGUGCUCAUUCAGUUAAAUUCAGUUUUAGGCCCUAGAAUCCUUGAUAUGCUUUAGAAUAAUGAUACUUGCUUUAUAUCGAAUUGUAGUUCUAUUGAGGUCAAACCUUAGUCACACAUAAACCACAACAAUUAGAAUUAAUAAUGGACUUUUACAAGGCAUAUAUAUUUUUUUUAAUUAUAAUCAUUUCUUUAUCAUUGAAAAUCUCA